rnacentral:rRNA from 1 species
CACGUAGGGGGCGAGCGUUGUCCGGAAUUAUUGGGCGUAAAGAGCUCGUAGGCGGUUCGUCGCGUCGGCUGUGAAAACCCGGAGCUCAACUCCGGGCCUGCAGUCGAUACGGGCGGACUUGAGUGUUGCAGGGGAGACUGGAAUUCCUGGUGUAGCGGUGAAAUGCGCAGAUAUCAGGAGGAACACCGGUGGCGAAGGCGGGUCUCUGGGCAACUACUGACGCUGAGGAGCGAAAGCGUGGGGAGCGAACAGG